rnacentral:rRNA from 1 species
GACGAACCGUGCGAACGUUGUUCGGAUUCACUGGGCUUAAAGGGCGCGUAGGCGGGCUGUCAAGUCUGGGGUGAAAUCCCGCGGCUCAACCGUGGAACUGCCUCAGAUACUGACGGCCUCGAGGGAGAUAGGGGCAUGCGGAACUGUAGGUGGAGCGGUGAAAUGCGUUGAUAUCUACAGGAACUCCGGUGGCGAAAGCGGCGUGCUGGAUCUCUUCUGACGCUGAGGCGCGAAAGCUAGGGGAGCAAACGGG